UACGUAGGGUGCAGGCGUUAAUCGGAAUUACUGGGCGUAAAGCGUGCGCAGGCGGUCUUUUAAGUCAGAUGUGAAAUCCCCGGGCUUAACCUGGGAACUGCGUUUGAAACUGGAAGGCUUGAGUGCGGCAGAGGGGGGUGGAAUUCCACGUGUAGCAGUGAAAUGCGUAGAGAUGUGGAGGAACACCGAUGGCGAAGGCAGCCCCCUGGGUCGACACUGACGCUCAUGCACGAAAGCGUGGGGAGCAAACAGG
rnacentral:rRNA from 1 species